GUUGCCAGAAACUGUACCAUCAGGACAUUUCCUGGGGGCUCAGGCAUGGUCUGGAACUAAUCUGAAAUCUGUACUAGCUUCCUGGAGCUCUGGCCCAGCCUUUCUGAAUUUGCUCCCAUUCAGGCCUGCCUGUAUCAGCUGGCUUGUCUACCUACCUACAGGUUUCCCAGGAACGAAGUCCAUGUGAGCUGCAGACCAUCUGGAAGAGGGCCAGUAAAAUCUGGAACAAGGACUGGCUCCUGGAGUCUCCUGCCAGCCACAAACUGCCCUGGUGACUGGAAAACUACAUUUGUUGAGAACCUGCUGUACCUCAGACAAUAUACAAGCAAUGUGAAUCCAGACCAGGAAGAGCUCCUAAUAAACGGUGAACCACAAAUAGUACACAGGGUGAAGCAUGGAUGAGGUUAUGACUCAGCUUUGACCAUGCGGCCAAAGACAACAUCCUAGGAACUGUGAGGCAAGGGGAUGGGAGGAAGCCAUGGCCCUGACUGACCCGAUGGAGCUGAGUAUUCCGACCAGUCUGGACCACCCACCCCUGGUCUUUUGCUGGAGAAAUAAAUUAAUUGUAUCUUCUUUAAA